rnacentral:rRNA from 1 species
AUUGAACGCUGGCGGCAUGCCUUACACAUGCAAGUCGAACGGCAGCACGGGAGCAAUCCUGGUGGCGAGUGGCGAACGGGUGAGUAAUGUAUCGGAACGUGCCCAGUCGUGGGGGAUAACGUAGCGAAAGCUACGCUAAUACCGCAUACGAUCUGUGGAUGAAAGCGGGGGACCGUAAGGCCUCGCGCGAUUGGAGCGGCCGAUAUCAGAUUAGGUAGUUGGUGGGGUAAAGGCCUACCAAGCCGACGAUCUGUAGCUGGUCUGAGAGGACGACCAGCCACACUGGGACUGAGACACGGCCCAGACUCCUACGGAGGCAGCAGUGGGGAAUUUUGGACAAUGGGCGCAAGCCUGAUCCAGCAAUGCCGCGUGCAGGAUGAAGGCCUUCGGGUUGUAAACUGCUUUUGUACGGAACGAAAAGCCCCGGGUUAAUACCCUGGGGUCAUGACGGUACCGUAAGAAUAAGCACCGGCUAACUACGUGCCAGCCGCCGCCGUAA